rnacentral:rRNA from 1 species
GAUGAACGCUGGCGGUAUGCUUAACACAUGCAAGUCGAACGGACUCUUCGGAGUUAGUGGCGGACGGGUGAGUAACGCGUGAGAAUCUGGCUUUGGGUUCGGGACAACCACUGGAAACGGUGGCUAAUACCGGAUGUGCCGAGAGGUAAAAGAGAAAUUGCCUGAAGAUGAGCUCGCGUCUGAUUAGCUAGUUGGUGAGGUAAAGGCUCACCAAGGCAGCGAUCAGUAGCUGGUCUGAGAGGAUGACCAGCCACACUGGGACUGAGACACGGCCCAGACUACUACGGGGGGCAGCAGUGGGGAAUGUUCCGCAAUGGGCGAGAGCCUGACGGAGCAAUACCGCGUGAGGGAAGAAGGCUCUUGGGUUGUAAACCUCUUUUCUUAAGGAAGAACAAAAUGACGGUACCUAAGGAAUCAGCAUCGGCUAACUCCGUG